rnacentral:sRNA from 1 species
GGCAACAUGGUAAAACCCUGUCUCUACAAAAAAAAAACAAAAACAAAAAAAACAAAAAAACAAAAAAUGAACCUAGCAUUGGUGGUGUGUGCUUAUGGUCCCAGCUACUUGGGAGGCUAAGGUGGGAGAAUGGCUGGAGUCCAGGAGAAGGAGGUUGCAGUGAGCCGAGAUUGUGCCACUGCACUCCAGCCUGGGUGACAGAGUGAGACCCUAUCUCGAAAAAAAAAAAAAAAAUUCAAGGUGAAGACUGCUUUAACCAGGGUGGUCAGGAAAUGUCUCUCUGAGGCAGUGACAUCCGGGCUGACGUGAAAGAUGAGAAAGAGUCAGGCAAGUGAACAGAAGACCAGACAGCCAGUGCCAAGGGCCUGUCGCAGGAAUGAGCUUGGUAUGUUUGGGGGACAGAAAGAAGGGCACUGUGGCCGAAGAGCAGUGGAUGAGGAGAGAGUGGCCAAAGAAGGUGUGUAAACAACCUGAGCUUUGUUUUGAGAAGAACAUUGGCUGGUAUAGAAAGAAAGACUUUGGAGGCAAAGUAGGGAGCCUAUCUAUCCGGAGGCUGCUGCCAUUGUCCGGGUAAGCUGAUGGUGCCGAGACCAGGUGCCAUGACUGGAGGUGGUGAGAAAUGGUCCUGUGCAGGAGACCUGGAGACACCGCUAGCUUGAGUCCUGAGGUGGGGAGGAAGGGAGAGGGAGGGAUGGAGCCAGGCUCCAAGGUUUUGGCUUGAGCAGCUGAGAUGGGGUGGCAAGGGAGCAGAGGUAGGGCUGACGAUCAGGAGCGGGUUUUUGGGCCGAGUCCUCUGCAGUGCCCAUCUGACACCCACUGGAUGCGCAGAGUGGGCAGCUGGCUAUGAGUCUGGAACUCAGAGAAGCUGUUCGCUCCGGAAAUACAAACCUGGGGCUCAUAGCCAUAUAAAUGUCAUUUAAAGCCACGGGACUGGAUGAGAUCAUUAAGGCAGAAGGUCUAGGUCGAAAGAAGAGGGCCAGGACCACUACCUGUAAAAUGAGCCAAUGACACCUACACCCAUGGGGCUCUCGCGAGGUGUCACGUGAACGCACCCAGCGAGCCCUGGAACCAGGCAGAGAAUCGCGGCAGCCCCGGGGGCGGGGCUUCCAGGGGGCGGGGUCAUACGGGGGCGGGGCCGAGGGACCAAGCGGCCGCUCCUGGCCGGAGGGCGGCCGGGUCGGUGACGUCACCGCAUGACUGGGUUUUUAUGAAUGAAAGGAAUCCUGUGAGUGAGUAAUUCCGGGAAGCUCGCCUUACAACUCCGCGCGGCCUCGGCCCCCUGCGCCGCCCGCCCCACAACAAAACUCAGCGCAGCGCUCCCGGGCGCCCGGUUCAGAGCGACCUGCGGCUCAGAGCGGAGGGGAGACUGACCGGAGCGCGGAUCGGGACAGCGGCCGGGACAGCGGCGAGACGCGCGUGUGUGAGCGCGCCGGACCAAGCGGGCCCAGAAGCGGGUGAGGAACGCGGGGCCAGGAGGACGGUGCGCGGGACCCCAAGGCGGCAGGGUUUCUGCGUCCCGGGAUGCGCCUGGGGUGGGCGCCCGGGCCCGAUCCGUCGGGGCUCCCGGAGCUCCAUCGCCCGGACGGCUCGGGGCGGGGAGAAGGGAGCGGCCGUCCCGGGGACGCCGAGGACGGGGCCGAGGCCAGCUCGGGGGAGUGGGGGUGGAGACGGGGCCCCUUCCCGGGGCGCGGGCGGGUAGGCAGCGGCGCCGGGAGGAAGGGGCAGCGCAGGCCGGCGAUCUCCGCGUCCGCCCGGCGGGGGCGGGGGCGCUGUGCUCCUACGUGACUCGGUGGGAACAGGCCCUGGCCCGGCGCCCGCGGGCGGUGCGUGCGCGGUUUGUUUACGUCCGAGGGCGGGCGUGUGUUCCCUGGCGGGCGGCCUGGGUAUCCUGCCCGGUGCGUGCGUGCGCUGUGUACCUCGGGGGCGUGUGUGCGUGUGUUGUGCUUGUGUGUGCGUGUCCGCGCGCGCGCUCCCUGGGGCCUGUACACCAGCAGUGUGUACCUCGGAGAGGGCGUGCCCUGGGCCGGCCACCGGAGUAAACGCGGAACAAGGACCCGAGCGAAGGAAGCGGACCCGUGCGUCUUCGCACGGGGUCUGGGAAUUCUGGCCCGGGCCGCCCCAGUCCUACUACCCGGGGCUGCCCGUCCCCGGCUCUCCCCGGAGUUUCCCAGGGCCUCCGCCACGUGACCCCAGUGUUUGUCUCCGGCCCAGAGCCCGCGCCCGCAGCCACAGGGUGGGGCAAGGUAUCAAAGACCCCACCCAGCUGAGCUAGGAGUGAGGGAUGUGAGCCACCCCCGCUUGGCACCCCGGUGGAUCUGGUAACAAAGUGAGUUGGAGCCCAGGUUCUUGUCCCCAGAUUUUGGGGCUUCCUGGGGAGGGAAGAACCAAGGGACUCUCGUUCGUCCCCAGGGUUGUCCAUCCCCUCAGUCCCAUGAGAACAGGAAGGGCCAGAAAACCUUGACUGCAAGGGUGCGGGGCAGGGAGAGGACCACAGGCUUUUAGCUAGUCCGGGUUCUGGAGGCUGUACCUGCUAGGUCGUGGAGGAUGGGGCGGAGCCGGUUUCCGCUCUCCUGGUAGUUUCAGUUCACAAGUGGGACUAGUGAGACUAGACUGACCUACAGCUGGACGCCGGAAGCUAGCUGAGGCUCUGAGCCAGCCGACAGACCCCAAGUCCUCACCCUGGGCCAGGCAGGGUCAGUAGGCAUUGGGGAUAGAACUCUGACUGCACGAAGGGUUAAUGAGUGAGGGGUGGGGCCUGACCUAGCCGCCACCCACCCACUCACCCAAUAGCCCUGCAGAAAGCACCUGUUUGUCGUAGCCGCCUGCAGGAUGGGCUGGGGGCUAGAGAUUCCUUGGUCUUAAUCCACCUUCCCCCUCCACCCACCCACCCACGGUCUAUGGAAUCGUGGGAGGGGAGCAAUUGAACUUGCUAGGGUGAGGAACCAAUGAUCUUUUGACUUUGGAUCUUUGAACCCUGGGUGAGCUCUGCUACAGCAGCCGGGACCCUCAGUGUUCCCAUCUAUCACUGGGAACUAGGUAACAGCCAGGAUGGCAGGAUGGUGGGUAGAAGGGGGAAGCUCUGGAAGUCUCUGCAGACAGCGUAUUUUCCAGGUGAAUUGUGGAAGAGAAAGCAGGGCUGACAGCCCCAUGCCAGGAGCUGGGGGUACCCAAGAGUAGGUGGGGUUUGAGUCAGGAGGGUUGGGGCCAGGAGCACAGGAACCAGACAGGCCCACCCUCAAAGCUGGGCAGGAAACAUUCCAAAGUAGGGCCUGGGGUCAGGGGAUGAGGGG